rnacentral:rRNA from 1 species
AUGCGAUCCACGGGGGGUUAUGCGGUAUUUCUGGGUCCUAACUUGAUCGCCUGGAAUGCUCGCAAGCAAGCAACUGUGUCUCGCAGUAGUACUGAGGCUGAAUACAAAGCUGUUGCUGAUGCAACUGCUAAGAUCAUAUGGUUACAGUCUCUGUUGAGAGAGUUGCAUGUUCCUGAAGCUCGUCCUCCGGUCCUGUGGUGUGACAACAUUGGUGCUACAUAUCUUUCUUCUAAUCCAGUGUUUCAUGCGAGGACAAAACACAUUGAGGUGGAUUAUCACUUUGUUCGGGAACGUGUUGCACAGAAGCUACUCUGUAUCAAGUUCAUCUCAUCAAAGGAUCAACUUGCUGACAUCUUCACGAAGCCUCUACCACAACCACAGUUUGUAGGAUGUAGGCGCAAUCUUAACUUGCUCUAUACUUCAGGACAUAGUUAA